rnacentral:rRNA from 1 species
CAGCCCCUCGAGUGGUGGGGAUGAUUAUUUGGCCUAAAGCGUCCGUAGCCGGCCGUGUAAGUCCCCCGUUAAAUCCAGCGUCUCAAGCGUUGGACUGCGGGAGAUACUGCUCGGCUAGAGAGUGGGAGAGGUGUGCGGUAUUCUGGGGGUAGGGGCGAAAUCCUUUGAUCCCCGGAGGACCACCAGUGGCGAAGGCUGCACACUAGAACACGUCUGACGGUCAGGGACGAAAGCUGGGGUAGCGAACCGGAUUAGAGACCCCUGUAGUCC